CCCUUAGAUGUUCUGGGCUGCACGCGUGCUACACUGAUAUUGCCAAUAUGUCAUUCUUAUCCGAAAUGGAUUGGGUAAUCAAGUAAUGAAAUUUCAUGCUUGGAAUCGGUAAUUGCAAUUUUAUCGUGAACGAGGAAUUCCUAGUAAGCACUAGUCAUCAGCUAAUGUUGAUUAUGUCCCUGCCCUUUGUACACACCGCCCGUCGCUACUACUGAUUUGGUGUUCAAGUGAGAUGCUUAGACCCUUGUUGCAUGGUUCAUUAUUGUGCUCCGAAAGGAAAAAGUUUCAAGCUUGAGUGUCUAGAGGAAGUAAAAGUCGUAACA
rnacentral:rRNA from 1 species